UAAAGUAUAUUGAAAUAUUGAAAUAAAGAAAACGCCUAUUUUUGGAUCUAUAAUAUGUAACGAAAAAAAUUAUAUUUUAAAAUUAUAUUUUUUAUACGGCACAGUGUUUAUUUACAGAAUAGGAGCGAUGACAUACAGUAUUGUUUGUUAUACUAACAUAGUGCAAUGAUCAUUAAGUUCAGUUAAUAAUAACGUGUUGUCAACGUAAACGCCCAUUAUAAUGGAAAUAAUACAAUUUGGCUUAAAUUUGAAUGGAAUUUAUGAGAAUAUUACUGUUGCAACAGCAUAACCUCGACCUCCGAUCGAUUCGUAUAGGAACUUCGAAUAUCGAUUGAUAGAAUCGUAACUCUUAUACGAAUCAGAAUUGUAAAAAUAAUAUAAACAAAAAAUAAUACCUAAUUUAUAUUUUUAUCGGCGGACGAUUAUUGUUUUAUACAAAUACAUAUACAUGUAUAUGUGUGCACUCACCAGGAAUAUAUAUAUACACAUAUAUGUAAUAUAUACUUCAUGGAGUUUUGAUGGCGUUCCAAAAGGGGAGGAGCAAAGGGUAGACAAUACUUAUUCUUAAAAAAUAAUAUUGUUAAUUAUCGUUAUCAUUAAAUAUUAAUUAUAUUCAUUUUUAAAAUUAUUAUUCAUUUGUCCACCUGGCCUAUGGGUUUUCGUCUAGUGUUAGACUUUUCUUUACUAGAGCAUUUUUACGGAAUACAUCCUCUUAUAAAAUAAGAUUUCAUUACAAUUAAUAUUUGUUUUUUUGUCGCAUAGAAUGUAGAUAGCGCAUCUCGAGUAUUAAAUGAGUCACGUGGAAAUUUAACGCAUGCUUUUUACUUUCUUUCUCUUGUUGUCUAGUGUUUUGACGACAAACAGAAUCUUCUGUUUCAAUCGUGUCUAAAUGUUCCUAUUUUGUAAAGAAAUGCAAGGAAAGGUGAAGAAAUUCUUGAAAAGGGCAAAGAUGAAUGGAACCAAGAGCGAGGCGUAAUAAAGGAAUAAGAACUUGAUUCCUUGAAAACGUGGAAAAACAGAAAUUUACCAUGAUCAUCGACGCUAUCUUCGUCGUCCGGUCCAAGGCCACUUCCGGAUGCU